UACAGGGGUGGCAAGCGUUGUUCGGAAUUACUGGGCGUAAAGGGCGCGUAGGCGGCCUUCUAAGUCAGACGUGAAAUCCCCAGGCUUAACUUGGGAACUGCGUCUGAUACUGGGAGGCUUGAGUGCGGGAGAGGGAUGUGGAAUUCCAGGUGUAGCGGUGAAAUGCGUAGAGAUGUGGAGGAAUACCGAUGGCGAAGGCAGCCCCCUGGGAUAACACUGACGCUCAUGCACGAAAGCGUGGGGAGCAAACAGG
rnacentral:rRNA from 1 species